AUGCACACACACACACACACACACACACACACACACACACACACACACACACACACACACACACACACACAUACCUUAGAAGAUGGCUCAAAGUUUCUCAUAUGGUCAGUGGGUUGCUUCAAAAUUCAUUUUUAUUUUAAACUACGCAGCAAACUUUUUCUUUUCUUUUCUUUUUUUUUUUUUCUUAUUUUCAUUCAGAGAAACACUGAAAAUCUGGAUACAACACAGAACAGAUUUGUGUGUAUUUGUGAACAGGUACAUCUGUGUGUGGGAAUGUCAUUGUUUCCAUUACCAGCUUACCUAAACAUGACAUGACAGUCUCGUCAUUAAAAACCCAUUCCAACAUCACGGGUGACGAUUCUCUCUAUUACCUUUGACCUUUCCCACCGCUGUCACCAGCAUCACUGGGAACAGUUAGCAUCCUGAUGAUAAGAAUUCUCGCACUUAACAUUUUUCUGCAGAAUGACGGGAAAAUCGUAGUAGCUGUCAGUCAUUUCCUAUUCCGUGCUGGACGGCCAGUCUGUUGACCUCUGACCUAAGAAAUCAACCACAGCUGCGAGUUGUUAGAAGGUUAUCCAGUGGUUGCGUGCAGGUUAUCAGCAGGUUUAGUGCAGUGCAGCAGACAGAAGCCACACACACGCACGUAGACACUGAAGUUUGUUUACAUUCACAGUGAUGUUCUGUUUUAAACCUAAUGAGCUGUCUACAUAGGCAGUAUUUUACAGCAUCAUAACAGAAUGAUGAUAUUAUGGUAUUUUGUAGCAAAAGAUGACAUUUUCCAAUGAAAAAUGAUAAAAAAACAUUGCAUAGUGUACUUUUUAAUUAAUUAUGUUGUCUCUUAAGUCACAUUUACCAUUGUUUGGUGAAUCACAAUCUGAAAUUUCACACAAGGGCGAAAGAUUUCAAGUUGGCCAUGUAAAUUUGUCACACUUUCCAACAAAAGCCACAUGGCUUUAAAGUGACUUUUGUUUAGGCUAUGCUUCAUAAAUGAACACAUUACAAAAAAUAGAAAUAAACCUUUUUUCUUGAAAAUUUUACUAAUGGUCGCAUGUAUUCUUUGUGGAGAAGGCAAUCCCACAAUGCAUUUCGAUGAGAUGAGACAAAUCCAAAAUAGUGUAUGAAACCGUUUCAUGGUUUGCUUAAUGUUUUUCUUUUUUUUUUUCUGCGUAUUUGUAUGCUUAUUACAGUAUUGUGCGGUUAGCACAGCAACAUGCUAGUGUCAAUCUCCUUUGAAAUCAAUUAUAAGUUGAGCUUGUUAGCCACACAUUUAUGGCUUAUGUCCAAAUCAAUCACGUACACGUUUCCAUUAUGUUUAGCAUGCUCCCUUAUAAGACAGCUGUCUAUGUAGGUAGCAAGGCAGCUUACUAGGUUUUGGAGCAGAGCUUAAAUUUAAUUCAUAAAGUAAUUUCAUUGUGAUUCAUGCUUUGCAUCUCCCUUAUCUCAAUCUUCAGAGCUUUCAUAAAGCUUUAUCUGUUUCGGCUGUAAUUUUUCUUAUCCUUCUAUUGAGUGCAGUGCUCAUAUGUCUCUCAGAGCGUCUCAUUGAUAUCCCACGAUGCCACAGCUGCUGCAGUCAGUAGGCGCUAGCAGGUAAUCAAACCCUCUUUUGAUAAUGAUAAUAACAAUCGUAGCUCUGUCAUUCUGUUUGUCACGGUAACAAUAGCGACACACAGAGAGGAUCUUAUCUGUGUGAGCUUCCCUUCUAAGCAGAGCAGAACAAAGCGUUUAUCGUACACAUCACACAAAAAAAUGACAACUUUGAAUGAGGAGUUUAUCAGUGAUGUGGAGUGGACUUAUCUACAAACCCACUCAGAUUUUGUCAGGUUUAGAUGGACUUACUAAACAAAUGAAUGAGAAGUAGACUCAAGAAUCAAAAUGUAUCGCUAGCAAUGAAGUACCUGCAUAAAAGGUCACUGAAUCAGAUGAAUCAUUGAAUGAAUCACAUGACUCAUUGAACAAAUCUGAAUUUAUUUAUUUAUUUAUUUUUUUUUUUUGGGGGGGGGGUGAUUCCAAAGAUUUGAGUCUUUCACUGAUAAUAAGUACAUAUACUGCAUAUAAUUUAAUGUUUUUAUCCCUAAUUUAUUUCCUCAUUGUCUGUCGAACCCCUCACAGCAGAAUUAAUGCCUUUUUAGUGCACUAUAAAUGCAUGACAUGGGGUAUUUGAUUUCAAAAUACUACAGGAUGUAACAUUUAUUUUAAAGAAGAAUAACAAAGGUGCACUUUUCGACCAAAACAUCUCAACAAAGGAAUUUUCUUUGUUUAGUUUCUUAGCCCUUCAUCAGUACUGGGGUGCAGGUGGCACCUUCAAAAACAUUUCACCAUAUUUUAAUGCUCUUUAGCUUGAUACAGAUACAUGGAUUGCAUUUACCUGCAUUAUAGGGUUGUUUACAAGCUGCACAAUAAAUAAAGAUCUGCUUUAUCACUGACAAGCCACUAAACACAUUUGUUUUGUUUCCUACAGUGGAUUAUAGGUAAAUAUUUACAUCUAUCACAUUAUUAUUUUUGUGUGAGAAACAACUGCAGAAAAUUCUCUGCCUAAAUUAACUGUCCAAAUAAAUCUGAAUUGUGGCCACUUUCAGACCUUUUUGUAAACCCGUUUGAACCAGUAAAAAAAGCGCCAUAUUCAAAAAUAAAACCAUGCAAAUUCUAAAUUCUAAACAACUGAUAGAAAACACACAACAUGAUUCCUGAAAUAUUAUGUAAAUAAAAUGAUUUUCAGGUUAUGGUAAUUUCCAUUGAUGGACAUGGAUUUAACAGUUACAUUUUAUUAUGUACAGCAAUGUUUCUUGAUGCCCCUGUUAAAAUGGCAAAAAAAAAAAAAAAAAAAACAACAGGUGUUUUCAAUAAGACAAACUAGUACUAAAUACUUUACAUAGUUAAUGGGGUGUAAUGCACUUUACUGGCUAGCACACCUGACCCCAUAUAUAUAUUUAUUCAGAAUGACCUUGGCAUCAGUUAUACAAACUGUUUGAGAGAGAAUAGUAUUCUCACAGUGUUGUGGGAGUGAUUAUGCAUCUGGAGGUGAAUUGAACGGUUGGUGGUCUGUAUUUUUCCCCAACAACUGCUGUUAGUGCAGAGAACAAUCUACCGAUACACACACACACACACACACACACACACACACACACACACACACACACACACACACACACACAUACACUUUCCAAACCAGAUAAACACAAGGGAACUGGAAGAAACUACUGUGCAAUUAGUCUGUCAUUGUUGUGUCAUUUUAAUUCCAGCAGUAAAAUAACAUAGAUUCUUCAUUUAUUUCAUCCUUUCUCCUCUACCUUUGCAGACAUGGCCAAUCGCUCCUUUUCUUUUGUCUCCACAAAUCAUCCCGUGGUUCUAAAGCAGGAUGGGCCUAAAUCACAGGGGACGAGCAGCAGAUAAUGAAGUCAAUCCUCUCUCUCUCUCUGUCUUUCAGUUGGCGGUUUAGUUUCUCUCUGUUAUGCCUGUUUUUGGGUUUUUUUCUUCUUUCCCCCACACACUCGCUCGUUUAAUUCUAUGCAGCACUGUGAUGAAUACUUUUUUUUUUUUUCACAAAUGCACCAAAGACACUCAAGCUCUUUCUUUCUCUCACAUUGUGUUUUCUUUUUAUCUUCAUUUUUUAUUUUGUCUCUUUGCACCUGAAGUUAGCGAUUGACUGUCUAUGGAGAGCACUGGAACUUUUACACACACUACUGUUUAAAAUAUUUUAGAUAAUAGAAAUGGAAAUAGGAUACAGCCAUAGAUUUCAUUUCUGAAACUAAACAUUGUGGUUUCAGGAACAGUGACCUGUUCCUCCUCCUCUUCCAGUUCUCUGUCUUGUGUAACUAAUUGUGAGCAUUUGUUUGUGACACAGCUGUGAAACUUCAAGAAACUCCUCAUUUUUCUCUCUCAUAUUACACACGCACGCACGCAUACACACACACCCAAACACACCUUGAUAGACUGCCAUGACCUGAACUUAUUCAGCUAAAGUCACAGACAUUUAUGGUUAUGAUCUGAUCUCAUCUGAAAUGUUGAAUGUGUUACUCAGUCAAGGAUGUACAUUGUAGAUCAUCAAAUGUAAUUGUGUACUGGAUGUGAACUGGUGCUUAUAUCUGGCAGGUCUAAUGUAGCUUUAACAUUCCGAUAAUUGAACAGCUUUUCCUGUUGUGAGAGCACAAUGCUUGGUUAUUGUAACAUUUAGUGCUUUAUGCAUUUGUUUGUUCUACUUUAUUAGUUUCUACCUUGGAAUGCUGUUUAGUUUUCAUUUUCACAGCUGUCUUUCAGUUUAACAGGAUGAAUAAUGAGACUUCAACUGUGGGGGUUUUUCUGGAAAAUUAGCAAAAUGUUCUUUUUAUUUUAAUAAAUCCCAGGUAGCAUCAAAUUACAAGGCACAGUUCCCAUGAAGCCAUUUCUCACUGUAUGUGUAAACAGUUUAUUUUUACUUUUUGACAAUAUAUUUUCUAAAAUAAACCCAUAAUGACAUGUUACAUUAACUGAGCUAUGAUAGAUCAAUAAUGACUAAUCCAGAUUACCAUCAAACAUAUGACCAUUUUGACAUUGUCUGCCAAUUAACAAAAGUGGUCAUUCUUCUACGUCUAUGAAUUUUGAGUAAAUAUUGUGUAUUAAGUAUUAUUAUUA
ensembl:lncRNA